ACGAUGCAUAGCCGACCUGAGAGGGUGAUCGGCCACACUGGGACUGAGACACGGCCCAGACUCCUACGGGAGGCAGCAGUAGGGAAUCUUCCGCAAUGGACGAAAGUCUGACGGAGCAACGCCGCGUGAGUGAUGAAGGGUUUCGGCUCGUAAAACUCUGUUGUUAAGGAAGAAUACUUGAGGUAGUAACUGGCCUUGAGAUGACGGUACUUAACCAGAAAGCCACGGCUAACUACGUGCCAGCAGCCGCGGUAAUACGUAGGUGGCAAGCGUUAUCCGGAAUUAUUGGGCGUAAAGCGCGCGUAGGCGGUAAAAUAAGUCUGAUGUGAAAGCCCCCGGCUCAACCGGGGAGGGUCAUUGGAAACUGUUUUACUUGAGUACAGAAGAGGAGAGUGGAAUUCCAUGUGUAGCGGUGAAAUGUGCAGAGAUAUGGAGGAACACCAGUGGCGAAGGUCGACGCGGCCG
rnacentral:rRNA from 1 species